UCUACUCUGUCGUGGGGGAGUAACGUAGGGAAACGUUAACGCUAAUACCGCAUACGACCUACGGGUGAAAGCAGGGGAGUCUUCGGACCUUGCGCGAUUGAAUGAGCCGAUGUCGGAUUAGCUAGUUGGUGAGGUAAUGGCUCACCAAGGCGACGAUCCGUAACUGGUCUGAGAGGAUGAUCAGUCACACUGGAACUGAGACACGGUCCAGACUCCUACGGAGGCAGCAGCG
rnacentral:rRNA from 1 species